GACGAACGCUGGCGGCGUGCCUAAUACAUGCAAGUCGAGCGAAGUUUUUCUGGUGCUUGCACUAGAAAAACUUAGCGGCGAACGGGUGAGUAACACGUAAAGAACCUGCCUCAUAGACUGGGACAACUAUUGGAAACGAUAGCUAAUACCGGAUAACAGUAUUUCUCGCAUGAGAGAUAUUUAAAAGUUGGUUAUGCUAACACUAUGGGAUGGCUUUGCGGUGCGUUAGCUAGUUGGUGGGGUAAAGGCCCACCAAGGCGACGAUGCAUAGCCGACCUGAGAGGGUGAUCGGCCACACUGGGACUGAGACACGGCCCAGACUCCUACGGGAGGCAGCAGUAGGGAAUCUUCCGCAAUGGGCGAAAGCCUGACGGAGCAACGCCGCGUGAGUGAAGAAGGAUUUCGGUUCGUAAAGCUCUGUUGUUAGGGAAGAAUGGAUAUGUAGUAACUAUACAUGUAAGAGACGGUACCUAACCAGAAAGCCACGGCUAACUACGUG
rnacentral:rRNA from 1 species